rnacentral:rRNA from 1 species
AACGAACGCUGGCGGCAGGCUUAACACAUGCAAGUCGAACGGGUGUAGCAAUACAUCAGUGGCAGACGGGUGAGUAACACGUGGGAACCUUCCUAGGGGUACGGGACAACUCAGGGAAACUUGAGCUAAUACCGUAUACGUCCGUGAGGAGAAAGAUUUAUCGCCCUUAGACGGGCCCGCGCCGGAUUAGCUAGUUGGUGGGGUAACGGCCUACCAAGGCGACGAUCCGUAGCUGAUCUUAGAGGCUGAUCCGCCACACUGGGACUGAGACACGGCCCAGACUCAUACGGGAGGCAGCAGUGGGGAAUCUUGGACAAUGGGCGCAAGCUUGAUCCAGCCAUGCCGCGUGAGUGAAGAAGGUCUUCGGAUUGUAAAGCUCUUUUGCCAGGGACGAUAAUGACGGUACCUGGAGAAUAAGCCCCGGCAAACUUCGUGCCAGCCGCCGCAGUAA